rnacentral:rRNA from 1 species
CCUCGGGGGGCAGCAGUGGGGAAUAUUGGACAAUGGGCGAAAGCCUGAUCCAGCCAUGCCGCGUGUGUGAAGAAGGCCUUCGGGUUGUAAAGCACUUUCAGUGGGGAAGAAAGCCUUGGGGCUAAUACCCUCGAGGAAGGACAUCACCCACAGAAGAAGCACCGGCUAACUCCGUGCCAGCAGCCGCGGUAAUACGGAGGGUGCGAGCGUUAAUCGGAAUUACUGGGCGUAAAGCGCGCGUAGGCGGUCUGAUAAGCCGGUUGUGAAAGCCCCGGGCUCAACCUGGGAACGGCAUCCGGAACUGUCAGGCUAGAGUGCAGGAGAGGAAGGUAGAAUUCCCGGUGUAGCGGUGAAAUGCGUAGAGAUCGGGAGGAAUACCAGUGGCGAAGGCGGCCUUCUGGACUGACACUGACGCUGAGGUGCGAAAGCGUGGGUAGCAAACAGGAUUAGAUACCCUGGUAGUC